rnacentral:rRNA from 1 species
UACGAAGGGGGCUAGCGUUGUUCGGAAUCACUGGGCGUAAAGGGCGCGUAGGCGGCCGAUCAAGUCGGGGGUGAAAGCCUGUGGCUCAACCACAGAAUUGCCUUCGAUACUGUUUGGCUUGAGACCGGAAGAGGUUAGUGGAAUUCCGAGUGUAGAGGUGAAAUUCGUAGAUAUUCGGAAGAACACCAGUGGCGAAGGCGGCUCACUGGACCGGCAUUGACGCUGAGGUGCGAAAGCGUGGGGAGCAAACAGG